rnacentral:lncRNA from 1 species
GACACGGCCGCCUUCGGUCCUUACGGCAGUCAGCGCAUCGGCUGCCACUGGGCGAGCAGCUCGCACGGGCUGCAGAUGGGGUCUGAGUCACAGGUUUCCCUGACUCCAAAAACCCACGUCCUGUCUACACCCCGGGAGGCCCAUCAGUGGAAAGGGGGCCGCUCUGGAAGGCACCCACGGCUGAGCCUCCUGGGUUUGCGGCCCCGGCCCCCGCGAGGCGGGAGCGGAGGGGUGGGCUUCAGUGCCAGGGGCUGUAUCCAGGGAUGGGAAGGCAUUUGGGGAAACUGAGGCUCUGGUCCCAAGCGUAUUCCCACCUGUUCAGAUGUUUGAGGUUAAUUAAAGGACAGCGAUCGCCACGUGGAAUUUUUACCCAUGGUUGCUGAAUCGGCAACAAUCUGUGCCAAGGCGACUGCCGGGUCCGGACAGAACCGGCGGCUUCUGCUCGCGUUUUUGCAGCGAGGGAAGAGGAUUACGGCCGACCGAGUAGACCGCGAGCUUCAGGCCUGGAGCGGAGACCGGAGAGUUCCUGGUCUAGCAUUACAGUCUGGCCCCGGGGAACCACCGGGUUCCUAUAAAAGUGUACCAGGUCCCCCUUGUGCAGAAGACCCCGGCCACGACAAGACCAGACACCCCGUCUGGGCGGGAACCCAC